UGCCUACGGGGGGCAGCAGUGGGGGAUAUUGCACAAUGGGGGGAACCCUGAUGCAGCGACGCCGCGUGGGUGAAGGAGCGUUUCGGCGCGUAAAGCCCUAUCGGCAGGGAAGAAGGAGGACGGUACCUGACUAAGAAGCCCCGGCUAACUACGUGCCCGCAGCCGCGGUCAUACGUAGGGGGCAAGCGUUAUCCGGAUUUACUGGGUGUAAAGGGAGCGUAGGGGGCAUGGUAAGCCAGAAGUGAAAACCCGGGGCUCAACCCCGCGGAUUGCUUUUGGAACUAUCAGGC
rnacentral:rRNA from 1 species